AUAAGGAGGAAGAACUCAACAAAGUUUGGUCGAUGGCCAGAGAUGGUCCCACAUAGAGCAAGCUGCCAAGCAGUAAAGCAGUCUUAUAUCAGUAGAGCUGUCGCCUGUCCCGGAGCUCCGGCUGGUUUCCGAUCGUCGGAAAAAAUGAGUGUUUUUCAAUCCGUGGCAAUCAGAGUGACAAUGAGCAAUAUGUUAGGUCAGCUUUCAUCAUCUGAAUAAGCCUCGAGCAAACAUGCGGAGGUGAAACUGAUAAUGGCAUUUCUCAAACUUAAAGCCAUGUCUACAAGACUGCAAGUUUCCUUAAGCUCACAUUUCAUGGUUCUAUCCUCAUCCUGGUCUGGAAACUCCUGCAAAAAAUGAAGAAAUCCCAUGUACUACAGCAAAGUAGAGUAGGACACUAAUUUCCGUUUUUAAAUCUUUCACAUCAUAUGACUUAUGAGGGAAUGGAGGGUAUAAUUGAGAGAAUAUGGAUUCAUCAUAAUUCAGUAAUUAGUAUUUGUUUGUAACUGUGCUGGGGUAUAGGCAUUCCAACCAUUUUCACUGCAUAGUGGUUGAUCUCCAAGGUUGGUUCCAGGCUCUCAAAUAGCCUAGUAACCAAUCAUGCCCUUCACCAUCAUUUCCCAUUGAAGCUUUCUAUUCAAAUAGAUUUACACAUCUUAGCUUAUGUUACAUUAAUCAACUUCAGAUAUCAAUUCUGAACCUCAAAACUAUUUUACUGUACAAUUAUUUGCCUCUUGUCACUUGCUUGCAAGGCAUUUAAAUUUUAUCUUAGUUAUAAGUAGCCUUUUUAUAGAUAGAUUUCCAUAAAUAGUGUCCUUUACUUAGUUGGGUCAUUCCUUUU